AAACUCAUAUACUAAACGAGCUCAAGCUGAAUUGGAUAAACUAGGCUUAGCUGAAAAAAUUCUUCUUCGCCGGAGCAAUUGUCGGAUCGGAUCCACUACUUCGCCACCUCGUUUUUUCUGAUCCCGACCGAAGCUCGCUGUUAACCCUCUACCCCUUCUGCUCUUAUCCUAAAACGAGGAAGUCACCCGACGGGAGUUCGUUCCCGCACCUUUCUCCCACGCUUCAAGUUCCCAAAAUCCCAUAAAUCCGCGGAGCUACCGGAUUUGGAAACUCCGGGAUUUAAGCCCGUCUUCUUCUUCUUCUUCGUCUGUGCUUGACUAUGGAGUUCUCCAAGGAUGAGACUUUCCAGGUCCCAAACCCUCCUGCACCAAAUUCCUAUGAAGCAGUGGUCAUCGGAGGAACUUUCGAUCGUCUACACCAAGGCCACCACCUCUUCCUCAAGGCGGCAGCAGAAUUGGCAAGGGAACGCAUUGUGGUGGGUGUUUGUGAUGGGCCAAUGCUGAGCAAAAAAGAGUAUGCUAAUCUAAUACAGCCAAUUGAGAAGAGGAUGCAGUGUGUUAAAGACUACAUCAAGUCAGUCAAGCCCGAGUUGACAGUAGGGGUUGAGCCAAUUACGGACCCCUAUGGACCAUCCAUUGUAGAUGAACUGUUGGAAGCCAUUGUUGUGAGCAAGGAGACAUUUCCUGGGGGUUUGGCAGUAAAUAGGAAAAGAGCAGAGAGAGGCUUAUCACAGCUGAAGAUUGAAGUAGUAGAUUUACUUCCAGAUUCAACAUCAGGGCACAAAAUCAGUUCCACUGCAUUCAGAAGACUUGAAGCUGAGAAUGCAAUUCAGCAGCAGCAGGACCAACAACAACCAGAAGAACAACAGAAGAUAAUUAAUAGUGCUGAUCUCAUGGAGCCAACUUAGGAAGGACGCACUGUCAUGAAAACUACUCCAACAACUCUUUAUGUUAAUUUGAUAAUGGAAAUCAUAUUGCUUUCUUACGAUCUGAACUGUUGGGAGACAUUCAUAGAAGUAAACAGGAGAAGACAGAGAAUAGCUCAUUUCAACUGAAGAUUUUGUCAAUCUGUGCUGUGUCACCCCAUUUCACCAAAAAAUGCUUAGAAAAUCCUGUUAACUUCUUUGUUUUUAUCUUACACAUUAAAGUUGUAGAUUUGCUGCCAAAUUUAUCAUCAAGACACAAAAUUAGUUCCACUGAAUUCAGAAAACUUGAAGUUCUGCAACAACAACUACAUCAACAAGACUGAAAAAAACAAAAACAACAGAAGAAAAUCACUACACAAAACCAUAUAUAGUUCCAGAAGACAUUAACAAGGAACACACUUUUUGAUCUGGCAAGAUCUGCAACAUGAUACUGUGCAGCAUAUUUGUAAGAAGGACCUUCCAUGGCUGUCACAGGAGGUUCAUUCAGAAAAGCCCAGUUGCUCCUUGUCCACCUGCAAGUUCGAUGCCGGUUAGCUCCUAUCAGAUGCAAAAAAACAUGAAAUUUCUGAACAAAAUUUGUUGUAGAUGAAUGUGCUAUGAGAAGAUAAGAAGUUUCAUAGGAUUAUUUGCUAAAAAAAUUACUGCAAAUGUCAUAUUUUCUAGUCACUGGACAAUUACAGGUUGUGAAUUCUCUCUUAUGAAGGAGAAAUAA